rnacentral:rRNA from 1 species
GAUGAACGCUGGCGGCGUGCCUAAUACAUGCAAGUCGAGCGAACAGACGAGGAGCUUGCUCCUCUGACGUUAGCGGCGGACGGGUGAGUAACACGUGGAUAACCUACCUAUAAGACUGGGAUAACUUCGGGAAACCGGAGCUAAUACCGGAUAAUAUAUUGAACCGCAUGGUUCAAUAGUGAAAGACGGUUUUGCUGUCACUUAUAGAUGGAUCCGCGCCGCAUUAGCUAGUUGGUAAGGUAACGGCUUACCAAGGCAACGAUGCGUAGCCGACCUGAGAGGGGGAUCGGCCACACUGGAACGUAGACACCGUCCAGAGUCCUACGGGAGGCAGCAGUAGGGAAUCUUCCGCAAUGGGCGAAAGCUUGACGGAGCAACGCCGCGUGAGUGAUGAAGGUCUUCGGAUCGUAAAACUCUGUUAUUAGGGAAGAACAAAUGUGUAAGUAACUAUGCACGUCUUGACGGUACCUAAUCAGAAAGCCACGGCUAACUACGUG